GAUGAACGCUGGCGGCGUGCCUAAUACAUGCAAGUCGAGCGAACAGAUGAGGAGCUUGCUCCUCUGACGUUAGCGGCGGACGGGUGAGUAACACGUGGAUAACCUACCUAUAAGACUGGGAUAACUUCGGGAAACCGGAGCUAAUACCGGAUAAUAUAUUGAACCGCAUGGUUCAAUAGUGAAAGACGGUUUUGCUGUCACUUAUAGAUGGAUCCGCGCCGCAUCAGCUAGUUGGUAAGGUAACGGCUUACCAAGGCAACGAUGCGUAGCCGACCUGAGAGGGUGAUCGGCCACACUGGAACUGAGACACGGUCCAGACUCCUACGGGAGGCAGCAGUAGGGAAUCUUCCGCAAUGGGCGAAAGCCUGACGGAGCAACGCCGCGUGAGUGAUGAAGGUCUUCGGAUCGUAAAACUCUGUUAUUAGGGAAGAACAAAUGUGUAAGUAACUAUGCACGUCUUGACGGUACCUAAUCAGAAAGCCACGGCUAACUACGU
rnacentral:rRNA from 1 species